UACGGGGGGGCAAGCGUUGUUCGGAAUUACUGGGCGUAAAGGGCUCGUAGGCGGCCAACUAAGUCGGAUGUGAAAUCCCCAGGCUUAACCUGGGAACUGCAUCCGAUACUGGAUGGCUUGAAUCCGGGAGAGGGAUGCAGAAUUCCAGGUGUAGCGGUGAAAUGCGUAGAGAUCGGGAGGAACACCCGUGGCGAAGGCGGCUCACUGGGCCGGUCCUGACGCUGAGACGCGAAGGCGUGGGGAGCGAACGGG
rnacentral:rRNA from 1 species